UGUUAAACUCUUACCACAUUCUGAUGUCUGCGUGCUGCUGGUCACUGCAGAGGUCAAACUAGAGGUCACACUAGAGGUCACACUAGAGGUCACACUAGAGGUCACUCUAGAGGUCACAUCUGCAGUAGUUGAUUCUGAAAUAAAACAUCAGCACAUCGUAGAAUGUACAAAUAUGUUGUAUUCACCCCUUCAAUGUCAAACUGGAAUAGGAGGAGAGCAUUUGGCAUCUAUCUCAAAAUAACUGCUUUCAGCAGAUAAAUCUUUAUUUAU